rnacentral:lncRNA from 1 species
CUCCUUCCUCUUGUGCAUUAGUUGUCAUAUCUUAGAAAUCAUUGUUUAACCUUUGUUAAACAAUUUGUUUUUGUUUUUAGUUUUGGCUUUUUAGGUGUAUGAUUGUAUUAGUCUGUUCCCACACUGCUAUAAAGAACUACCUGAGACUGGGCUUAACACCACGUGGAAACUGCCAAGGAUUAUGGCUUGCACCUCCUGGAGCAUGGACUGAUAAGUAUCUGGGGACCUUUUAAUCAUACCUGGAGCUGGAGCAGCUGGGGCACAGGGAGCAGUGGCCCAAGGUUGCACAGGGCACCAAGGCCUUGAGCUUGGUCCUUGAAACAAUUAUUUUCUCCUAGGCUUUUGUGCCUAUGAUGGGAGGGGCUGAUGGGAAGGUUUCUGAAGUGGCUUUGAGGCAUUUUCCUUAUUGUCUUGGGUAUUAAAAUUCAGUUUCUCUUUCUUUUUGUUUUGUUUUGUUUUUUUUUUAGAUGGACAAGUCUCGCUCUGUCACCCAGGCUGGAGUGCAGUGGUGCGAUCUCAGCUCACUGCAAGCUCCAUCCUCCCAGGUUUACACCAUUCUCCUGCCUCUGCCUCCCGAGCAGCUGGGACUACAGGCACCCACCACCAUGCCCGGCUAAUUUUUUGUAUUUUAUAAUAGAGUUGGAAUUUCACCUUGUUAGGCAGGAUGGUCUCAAUCUCCUGACCUCGUGAUCCACCCAUCUCAGCCUCCCAAAGUGCUGGGAUUACAGGCGUGAGCCACCAUGCCUGGCUAAUUUGGCUCCUCUUAUGCGAAUUUCUACAGCUGGCUUGAAUUCCUCCCCAGAAAAUGGAUUCGUCUUUUAUUGUUUUACUUUUUUUUUUUUUUUUUGAGACAAGUCUUACUCUGUUGCCCAGGCUGGAGUGCAGUGGUGCGAUCUCAGCUCACUGCAACCUCCACCUCCCGGGUUCAAGUAAUUCUUCUGCCUCAGCCUCCUGAGUAGCUGGGACUACAGGCAUGUGCCACCACGCCCAGCUAAAUUUUGUAUUUUUAGUAGAGACGAGGUUUCACCAUAUUGGCCAGGCUGGUCUUGAACUCCUGACCUUAUGAUCCACCCACCUCAGCUUCCUAAGGUGCUGGGAUUACAGGCAUGAGCCACAGUACCUCGUCAGGUUUUUCUUUUUUACAAAAUGGCUGGACUGCAAAUUUUCUAAACUUUUAUGCUCUGCCUGUUUUUUAAAUAUAAGUUUUAGUUUCAUAGCAUCCCUUUGCUCACACUAUGACAAUACACUGUUAGAAGCAGCCAGGCCACAUCUUGAACACUUUGCUGCUUAGCAAUUUCUUCCACAAGAUACCCUAAAUCAUCAGUCUCCAAUUCAAAGUUCCACAGAUCCCUAGAGCAGGGGCACAAUGCCACCAGUCUCUGUGCUAACAUAACAAGAGUGACCCUUACUCUAGUUCCCAAUAAGUUCCUCAUCUCCAUCUGAGACCACCUCAGCCUGGACUUCAUAGUCCAUGUCACUAUCAGCAUUGUGGUCACAAAAAUUUAACCAGUCUCUGGAAAGUUCCAAACUUCUCCUCAUAUUCCUGUCUUUUUCUGACCCCCUCCAGACUGUUCCAACCUCUGCUCAUUACCCGGUAUCAAAGUCACCUCCACUUUUCAAGUAUCUUUAUAGCAAUGCCCCACUCCCAGUAGCAAUUUUCUGUAUUAGCCUUCUUGCAUUGCUAUAAAGAACUAUCUGAAACUGGGUAAUUUAUAAAGCAAAGAGGUUUAAUUGACUCAUAUAGUUCUGCAGGCUGUAGAGGAAACAUGGCUGGGGAGGCCUCAGGAACUUACAAUCAUGGCAGAAGGAGAAGGGAAAGCAGACACAUCUUUUAUGGCCUGAGAAGGAAGAAGAGAAAGAAGGGUAUGAAAUAAUUUCCUAUUGAAGUCAUCUUAACAUGGAACCAGAAUUAAAUCCUAACAACAAUCAUGUGAGCCUGGGGAGGAUCCUUCCCCACGUGAGCCUUCAGGGGAGACUUCAGCCUUGGCCAUCUUCUCCAUCUAGAUUCCUGACCAAGAGAAACUGUGAGUAAUGUGUAUGUGCUUUUCAGCCACCAAGAUGUGUGGGAAUUUGUUAUGCAACAAUAACUAAGUAAUACACCUGGCAUUGAAUGUAAUGUGGUAUCCUAGAUUAGAUACU